UAAGCUCUCCUCCAAUCAAUUUUUAUCCCCCAGACUGGUUCCAUAUGGUUAUCUCCUACUUUUGACACAAAAGCCGCAAGCUAGUGCGUUGCCUUAUUACACUGAAGGGGAGUGUCUUUCAAAACUACCUGCUGCAACUGUCCAGCAAGCAUCUGGAUAUCAAAAACAAUCUAAGCUCUCCUCCUAUCUUCAUCUCCUACACUAUCAAUCUUUAGCGUAUAUUAUAUAGACUGCUCAUCAUGAGUCACGACCACCACAAUAAUCACCAGGCUCCAGUUGCUUACCCCAUGAAACAUGAUGGUCCUGAAUGCCCCCAACAACCACCUCCCUGCCCCGAGCCUGCAGAGUCUCAUCAUCGAAAGGGUGCUGGAUUUUGCACAGGAUGUUGUUUUGCCAUGUGUAGCUGCUUUUGCGACUUGUGUUGCAUGCAGUGGCAGACCUAUUAAGGAGAAAGGAAGUUCAGCUGCACCUCCGUCUUUGAAAAAUCACCUAGAGAGGUCGGAGUUUGCCCCUUUUGUGGUGCUCACCCUAAACCCUAAACCAUCCCUUCCUCUCACCUCAUGUCAUCAUGAGCAAUAGUACUCGUUCAUAAUCAUGUCAUCAUAUAAUUUUGAGGAGGAUUAUUAUUGCAAGUUUUGUUUUUAAUUUGUGCUUAAUUUUGUGUUCAUUUUGCCAAGAGUUAUAUUUA